CCGGAUGUGGCGAAAUUGGUAGACGCGCAAGGCUUAGGUCCUUGUGUCCCUGUGGCGUGUAGGUUCGAGUCCUAUCAUCCGGACCA
rnacentral:tRNA from 1 species